rnacentral:rRNA from 1 species
AUUGAACGCUGGCGGCAGGCCUAACACAUGCAAGUCGAACGAGUGGCGGACGGGUGAGUAAUGUCUGGGAAACUGCCUGCUGGUGGGGGAUAACUACUGGAAACGGUAGCUAAUACCGCAUACCCUCAGAUGUGCCCAGAUGGGAUUAGCUUGUUGGUGGGGUAAGGGCUCACCAAGGCGACGAUCCCUAGCUGGUCUGAGAGGAUGAGCAGCCACACUGGAACUGAGACACGGCCCAGACUCCUACGGUAGGCAGCAGUGGGGAAUAUUGCACAAUGGGCGCAAGCCUGAUGCAGACAUGCCGCGUGGAUGAAGAAGGCCUGCGGGUUGUAAAGGACUUUCAGCGGGGAGGCGUUACCCGAAGAAGAAGCACCGGCUAACUCCGUGCCAGCAGCCGCGGUAAUAC